rnacentral:rRNA from 1 species
AUGUUACAACGCAAGAAUUUCUCCCUGGAGGAAUACUCUUGUUUGUUAUGUCAUCUGCAUGAGCUUGAAACAAGAGAUCACCUCUUUUUUCGUUGCCCCUUCGCUAGGGUUUGCUGGUCCUACCUUUGUCCCAACUAGGCUCCCCUAUAUCAGGCCAUACAAAUGGAUAUCAAUGAUAUGAAAACUCAUAUAGACUUGCCUUUCGCUUUGGAGGUCAUCAUCCUUGCUGCCUGGGCCAUCUGGACUACCUGAAAUGGUUGGAUUUUCAAAAGGAUCCCUCCAAGCCUAUACACUUGCACAAGAAAAAUCAAGAAUGAGCUUCAGUGGCUAGUCCACCGGGCCACGAGAAUUUUUUUCCAACCUUGA